AAUUGAGUCGGUGACUGCUCAUACUUUAUAGUCUAGGGGGGAGUGAUGCUAAAUUGGGUGGCUCUAAUAAUGCAUUCACUUCUUCAAUGUACCCAUCUAAAUCAAAGUCAUCCACUCCGAAAUAUGUUAGGCAUGCUUGUAAAAGGUCUAAGUUGAGCAAGGCAAGGAUUUUAUCUUCUAUAACUUCCUCUAGCAUGCAUGUUGAUCUCAUCAUGGUCGUACAUAGGUGGUCCUUGAGAUGCAUUGAAAAUAUUCAACCUCAGAUUCUUGUCCCCAAAAGAUACAUCCAUAACCCC
rnacentral:lncRNA from 1 species